CAGUCGAACGGACUUAUACUGAAACCUAGUGAUUUAUGAGUUAGUGGCGGACCGGUGAGUAACGCGUGGAUAACCUGCCGUAUACCGGGGGAUAACACUUAGAAAUAGGUGCUAAUACCGCAUAAGCGCACGGCUCCGCAUGGGGCAGUGUGAAAAACUCCGGUGGUAUACGAUGGAUCCGCGUCUGAUUAGCUAGUUGGCGGGGUAACGGCUCACCAAGGCAGCGAUCAGUAGCCGGCCUGAGAGGGUGGACGGCCACAUUGGGACUGAGACACGGCCCAAACUCCUACGGGAGGCAGCAGUGGGGAAUAUUGCACAAUGGGGGAAACCCUGAUGCAGCGACGCCGCGUGAGUGAAGAAGUAUCUCGGUACGUAAAGCUCUAUCAGCAGGGAAGAUAAUGACGGUACCUGACCAAGAAGCCCCGGCUAACUACGUGCCAGCAGCCGCGGUAAUACGUAGGGGGCAAGCGUUAUCCGGAUUUACUGGGUGUAAAGGGAGCGUAGACGGCAGCACAAGUCUGGAGUGAAAUCCCGGGGCUUAACCCCGGAACUGCUUUGGAAACUGUGCGGCUGGAGUGCAGGAGGGGUAAGCGGAAUUCCUAGUGUAGCGGUGAAAUGCGUAGAUAUUAGGAGGAACACCGGUGGCGAAGGCGGCUUACUGGACUGUAACUGACGUUGAGGCUCGAAAGCGUGGGG
rnacentral:rRNA from 1 species